rnacentral:tRNA from 1 species
GGGUAGGUACCAAAGCGGUCAAAUGGGGUUGACUGUAAAUCAACUGUCUUCGGACUUCGGGGGUUCGAAUCCCUCCCUACCCA